UCUCUCUCUCUCUCUCUCUCUGGUCUUUGGCUGCGGUGGGUGUGUAGGGCUGAGCCUCCCGAGGCGAAUCCGCCCCGAAGCAUUGAUUCCUGGCCCCCUUUUUGCGAUCCCGGAGCAGCUCAGAUGUGGUGCUGUCCUUAGAAGGCGAUCUGGGAUCAAAUCCAUGCACUGAUGUCAAGAUAGAUGACCUUGGGAUCAUCACUCUCGGUCCAGAUGCUGGUAUUAUAGAUAAAUGCUUCCACAAGAACUCUGGGUUCGAAGCCUGGUGUGUCAAGUUUCCCAAAGGCCAGAUGUGACAAAGACGGAUUGAAGACAAAACUAGAGGUUUUAUUCCCAAUGACCAAUGAGGAUGUCAGCAUAGACCACACUCCAAAAAACUGGCAUACUGCAAUUGCAAAUACAUAGGUAUAUUUAUUGCAUUUUGACAACUAUUCGAGAAUACCACACUAGCUCCUGAUUGGUCAAGGAAGUGUCUGGCUAGGACCCACUCCCAUUUUUGGUCCAGGGCUUUAUCCAGUGUCAUUGCUGGUUAGUCUCCACCAUGGUUGGAAACUUGAAUAAACUGUCACUCGAUUAUUUACAAAA